rfam:Triticum aestivum genome assembly, contig: Triticum_aestivum_CS42_TGACv1_scaffold_392651_5AS
CAACUACUCCCUUCGUUCUGAAUUACUUGUCGCAUGUAUGAAUGUAACUAGAUAUAUUUUAGUUCUAGAUACAUCCAUUUAUGCGACGAGUAAUUUAGAACGGAGGGAGUAGAUG